rnacentral:rRNA from 1 species
UACGGAGGGGGCCAGCGUUGCUCGGAAUUAUUGGGCGUAAAGGGCGCGUAGGCGGCUUGGUAAGUUUGAUGUGAAAUCCCAUGGCUCAACCAUGGAACUGCAUCUCAUACUGCCGAGCUAGAGUCUGGGAGAGGGAAGCGGAAUUCCCGGUGUAGCGGUGAAAUGCGUAGAGAUGUGGAGGAACACCAGUGGCGAAGGCGGCUUUCUGGUCUGUAACUGACGCUGAGGCGCGAAAGCGUGGGGAGCAAACAGG